rnacentral:rRNA from 1 species
CGAGCGGCGGACGGGUGAGUAACGCGUAGGAAUCUGCCCAGUAGAGGGGGAUAGCCCGGGGAAACUCGGAUUAAUACCGCAUACGCCCUACGGGGGAAAGGCCGGGAUCUUCGGACCGGUCACUAUUGGAUGAGCCUGCGUGAGAUUAGCUUGUUGGUGGGGUAAAGGCCUACCAAGGCGACGAUCUCUAGCUGGUCUGAGAGGAUGAUCAGCCACACUGGAACUGAGACACGGUCCAG